GGAUGUUGUAAACGUAGAAGCAGCCUCACACUAGCCCAUCCUUGACCAGUUAUGGCCCUAUAAUAACGUCGUCAGCCGUCGUUCAUAGUUUACUACAACCACCCUGGAUCCCUGCCCUGAUCUACAGCUUUCAUUCUGAGGGUUAUUAUUAUAAAUCGAUUUUAAUAACCUACGUCAGUUGCGCAACGUACGGCAGCGCCUGACGUAAUGUUGGUUCUCUGACCGCGCGUCGAUCUCCGAUCUCCUUCCACCGCAAAGUUACACAGUGGAUACAAACUAAUUCAAAAGUAUAUCCCGAUUAUUUCGCGGUUGUUUUAUUAUUAUUAAUAUUCUUUAUUAAAAGACAAGCCAGCAUACCGUUCCCAAAGCUGGCUCCUGGAUGCUUCUGGUCCUCGCCGUGCCGGUUCGUAAAACACAUCACAGUCGUGGCCAGCCUUCUGGAAGACCACCGUGACGUCCGCCUCGGCCCGGCGGGGGACGACGCGUAGCGCCCGGUCCUCUCCUAUCAUCUGAUCGCCUCGCUCAGUGCGGUCGUCCAUGGGGGCAGAACGAAAACACAACCCGACUCCUGCGGGACAACCAAAACUUUCCCUCCUCCCCCUCCCUCCCCAGUACCCUCCCUCGUGUUUACCCUAUGAGUUCUCAGGUUCCCAGCCAAUGGUUCCCACACAGCCCAGUGGCGUGACACCCCACUACAUAGGAUAGGAUAACACUCACAAAUAGGGUAUUAGGAUAUCCUUGUUUGUCCUGCUUGUUAUCUCUUUUCAUCAUAAACUAUUAGAUUAAAUUAUGAUUCCCAGAUGGGACAUUCGGGUGAACCUGCAGAAAGCAUGGCUACAGGACAGAAGUGGAAUUGAAAAGAAAAAUACUAAAACACAUUUUUAUAACAAUAUAACAUAGAAAAUAUUUAUAUCAUUACAAUUUCAGUAACAUAAAUGUAUAUGAAUGAAUGUAGUCAAUAUCAAAAGUAGAAGUUGCUAUUAUUGACAACAAUAAUAAUGUCUACUGUAUGAUAGGCAGCCUACAUUAUUAUUAACAACCAGGCCUAUGUUGUUGUACCAAAAGCGCAUGACAAAUAAGUAUAAAUCCAGCCAUACAUUGUACACGGAAAUGUUCUGCAACAAGAUAUCCAAACAGAUUUACAUUUGUUUAUUUCAGAAUUUUUAUAAACAUGAUACGACACAUCAAGUAGGACUAUUAACAAAGAGCUACCAAAAGCUAUUAUAUUUUCUAGUACAUUUUUGCUAAAUCUUGUUAACACAAAGAGGCCUAUGAGUGAGCUAGCAUACUAGUUUGUUGCAUGUUAUUCAAGUUGUUCUCUACCUAAAUGACACGUAUGAAAGUCAAACCACUUGAAAUAUAGUCCCAUCUAUCGUCAUACAAAAGCAGUAUCAUAUAAAUUACUUUACAAGCAUUAUAAAAACGUAAACAAUUAAUUUGGCAGAUGGACUUGGGUGACCAUGUUAUUAACAAAAGGAGUGUGUUGAUGUGUGCGUGUGUGUGUUUCCUCAAGGUUGAAUGAGUUUGACGUGUGAAAAGAUACAACAAACAGCGGUUAUUUUACAGAUAGGCUUACGAGUGUAAAGACAACAAUUGCUUUGUCUGCGGGGGAGAAAGGGGGGUGAAAGAGAGAGAUAGAGGGCUACAGAGGGCGGCUUCUAGCACACGGGCCUCCCUCUGGAGCUUUCAGUGUUAUUUAGGGUUUCUGUAGCAUGAAUUCUUCUAGUUGUGCUGAAGUGCACUGGUGGAAAGUCCUACACCAAGUACAAUCCAGAGAUAUUCAUAAGGUGCUUAAGGAAUUCAAUUUCAUAAGGAUUUAGGGAAAUACUUUUUUAAUCCACAACAUGUCAAAGAAAAUAUUUGUACAAGGGAUUGGCCUAUAUUCAGUUAAAAUAAAAACGGGAUUGGCCUGUAUUCAGUUAAAAUAAAAACCCUUAUACAUACUAUUAUAGGUGAACCAAAAUAGGAUCCUUGACCGACAGGGCUUACUUUGCAUAAAAAAAUAGAAUGUGACUUCAUACCAAAACAUGGGGGUUACAAUAUUAGUAUUUUUUACUUUUGAUACGCAAGCAUUAAUUGUGUCAAAGGUUUUUAGGAUAGGGUAUUUAUAUGUCCACUACAUUAGGAUAGGAAUACUUGUCCGCCACUGCUAAAUCAUUUCCAUGACAGUUAGCCAAUAUUUCUUUAGGUUGGAAGUCUGUUCAGAAACAGGUCAAGAUGUUUGCCCAGAACCUAUUGACAGAAUAAGCUCCAUGUUGAGUAUAUAUUUGUGUAGGAUUUAAAUAAUUGAUUAUGGUACUUGAUCAAAGGUGCCAUCUACAGUACAGCCUCCAGUCAGGAUGAAAAUCCAAAUUUACUAAUAAAAUACAAGUUAUUUUAUUUACUUUUAGUUUUCUUGGUUGUUAUUUAGAAAAACUUCCUGUAAAUAUUUUUUUCUGAGAUUGUUUUAAUGAUUGUUUGUUCUAAAUUCAAGCUCCUUGUCUGGUCUUAGACAACGAGCAAACACAUUAAUAAAUACAUAUAAAUGCCACUACUUAAUGCAAAUUUACUGCAAGAUUAUUUGAGAUUUGUUUCAAAAUCGAAUGCCGAAUGUUGUGUAUUUCUCCUUAAACUGUGAUUUAACAUUUGGAGACUAGGUUGGACAUAUGUGUGAAAAUAUGUCACACAGGAUAUUUGAUCCUGUCCCGGUCCAAAUAAUAACUAAAUAAUCAUUAUCACACAAAAUCAGAAAUAUUUAUGGUCAAAUAUGUUGACUAAAUAGGCCUCAUCACAGAGGUUUAAUAGUAGGGCGAACACAGGUGUAUCUCAUGAUGUUAUUGUGAGCACUAUAUACUGUUUCGGCAAGCCUAUACAGAGUAAUAAUUGACUUAAUGAGAUACACCAGUUGUUAGCCCUACGAAUACAACGUCUGCCUAUAAUAGCUAUACUGCCCUACAAAUGCAAACUGCAGUAUCUGCAUCAACAGCGACACAGAAGUUUUGUGUUGUAGGUAGAUGAGAAGAAAGACAAUAACUAAACAACGAUUCAAUCAGCAUUUUGAUCACAAAAAAUGAAAUCCCAAAUAAUUUUGACCCAUGACCCCAAAAAUACAAAGACUGUACAACGGCAUUGUGCAGUAACUGGUGUCUCGAUACA